GAGCUUCGUCCGGUACAAAGAAGGGAAGGUAAUAGUAGUUAGAGAGGCACCGCGUUGCAUUUAAGCAUGCAUGUAUGGGCAGGAGCAGGCACGAAAGGGCCAGCAGAGGCCCGUGACGACAGGCCACAUGCGGGCUAACGUAGUGGCGAGGGGUAGGUAGGUAGGCAGAGGUUUUUAGGUUUGAAAGUGGCCGCUCUCCUCUCGCUCUCCUUAUUUUUCCUGCCCGUAACGAAGCGAGUCAGGUGGAGCGAGCGAGCGAGGAGUCUAGAUUAGUAAUAAAUUAGGAAAAGUGGAGGUCGCGGGGCAGUGUACUCGCGAGGGGGGAGGAGGAGGGGGAGGGGGCGAGGCUAGGGGGUCGGGCGGCGUUGGGAUCGGGGGCGGCCGUACGCGCCGCGCCGCCGCCUCCUGAGGAGGCCGAGCGGCGGCAGCGCCUACAGCCUCCUGCUGCUGCUGCCGCUGCCCCGCCCUCCCCCGCUGUCCACCCGCGGCCUAGACUCCCCGACGCCGUUGCCGCCGCCGCCCCCGCCCUCCACCCGCGGCGGCCUGGUCCACGACCUCUUGCACGACCUCUCGCACGAGCUCAAGGAGUGCCGCCGCGCGCUGGCGUUGCGGCGGAGCGAGCAGACGGCGAGGACCAUGGCGCGGCUCCGCGUCUGGGCUGCGCUCGAGAAGUAGCCGUUGACGAUGCGGCAGAGCGGCGCGGCGCGGCAGCUCGCGAAGCCCCCGCACGCGCGGCAGCACGAGUUCCCCUUCGGGGCGAAGCGCCUGAAGUCGGAGCACGGCGUGCCGACCCCGCGGUUGCAGAGGGGGACCCAGCGGCGCGAGCCGGGGCGGAUGGGCGCGGAGCUCGCGUAGACGGAGUUCGCCUACUGGCAGAGGCUGCUGCUCGAGCGCGAGUAGGGGUUCAGGAAGGGCGAGAAGUUCCUCGAGAGCGAGCAGACGACGCUGCCGAAGUGGUGGGCGCCGGAGCGGCAGUAGCGGCUCCCGACGGCCGUAGAAGCUCAGGACCUAGACUGACUUCUAAUAAAGGUACUCCUCCUCUCGCUCCACCACCUAACCUAGAGGUUCAAAGGUCUCACGUCGUGCAGCGACCUUAGAGAACAGAAACUAACACAAUCACAGGGUAAGUUGAAACUCCGGGACCUCCGUGAGCAACGUGCGAGUGGUCGAGAGGCAGCAGACGCGCACUUACUGGUACAGAGCUAUCUCGUCGACGCAGCAGAGUACCGUUCCCGUGGGGUAGACUGAGUGGAACCGUGACCUAGUAAGGCUAGACUCGGUCCGGGACCACCACGCAACAGACACAGACUCGAGCGAUGGAGAAAACGCCGCAGGUCUAGUGAACAAACAAACAGUCCAAAGAACCUACGGUUACGUCGUAUGGAGGGUCGUUAGAUGGUUCAAACACGGUUGGAGUGAAGGGAGUUAAAAUCGAAACGCCCAGAUUGACUACUUCUCAAGUAUGGUCAAUAAGCGGUGACGCAGUUAGAAGCGUGAAAUACCCAAGAACUAUGACACCCACUACUUCCGGAAUCCCGACACCGACUUUGUACGAGUUUAGAGGCACUCGAUGCACAAAAAGGAGACCUACGGUGGCUCCUAAGACUCCCGAGUCAGAGUCUAUAACCAGAGGUCCGUUAGAGUCUUCCGACGGCCUUCGAACUUAGUUAAGAGAUGAAAACGGUCGCGUACUGUUUACGUCGUCAUUAACGAUACAGGCUCUUGACGGGACUGGAAAACCACAAGGCGGAGACAUAAUACCCGGCGGUGGCGGGACUAGCCUAAUGGCCCCGCGGGUACCUACUCCCAAAACCCCGCUAACACUACUUGACGUUCUCCGAGUGGUCUGAAAGUCAGAGACCGGACGAGUGACUAUUCCGCAAACGUAUGUAACCUCCUGUGCCUUUUGAGUAUUUCUGAGACAGACAACGGAAACGGCCCUUAUCACUGUACAGAGAAGUCGUGCACAAACUCCCCACGUGAUCCAACGUCUUCGAACUCCAGUCUCUAUCGGGAAAACCGCUGUUUCCUAACGAGAGACCGGACUUGAUAAAAAUGUUGUACUCCAAGAAAACCUACUUGAGUACGUCCGAUUGACACUUCCCAACACCCCUACAUCGAGUCGUUUACGGAUUAGACCACCAACUUCACUACUUCCUUUUACUUCCCCUUUACCUAUGGCAACUAUUCGACAUGGACAUAGCUAGUAACCGUCCUGGUUCCCUUCUACGAGGUAGUAAACAGUUGUAGAACAUCAUGACGGUAACUUCUUCAAACAACAUGCCAGUACAAACAAGAUGAUAAGGGCUGGUAACGACAACAUAAGGACAAGUUCAUACGGUCUCGGUCUCUCCUUCGAGGGGCACCUACUAAAACUUAACACCCCUUAUACUUACGUAGUAAAUUAAUUCGUCCGGUAGUUAAUAAGAAAAGACCCGACUAACGCAGCUCUGAACUUGGACAUGCUCCAAAGAAACUAUCUUACCGACUUCCAGCUGAGGUUAAACCGUCGUCUAAAAUGUACCAAGGAAAACGGGAGUUCAGAGGUCGGUAACUACAAAACGGUACAUGACAAGUUAGAUAGACGAGUCUGUUUCCUUGCCGUAACAGAUACAACCUUACGAGGUAGUUGAAAAAACGGAACACAAAUCUAAUAGGGUCGAUGCUAUUUAAAAGAGAAGGGUAAAAAAUAUCAAAGGUGUUGAAUAAAAACAUCUAGUUCCAUCUGGUUAUAGUUGAAAAGGACCAGUGUUGGAAGACGACAAUAAUUAGUUCUUCUAUAACCUACUACUUUAAGUCAGCCGUAGUUAAACAAUGGUGCAAGAUGAGAUGAAGGAAACAACGGACAAGUAAACGUGGGUACUAGUACGACGAGACUAAUACUGACGAGACAACGAUGGUGGUGUCGUUAUUUACGGGAGACGGACACAUAACCGUGUACUAUUCCUGUACUGGAUGAUUACUAAACUAGAGUUCUCACCAGGAACCAGGAACAAAGCACAUCUAGACGUACUGUAGAUGACAGUCUACCCCUAAACGGAAAAGUAGGAAGAGGACACUUGUAGGGACCUCCCCGGUUUUCGAGUUUCGAGGGUUUACCCGUCUCGGACGUGGAAGGUGUGCCGUUCUCUUUUUUCCAUCGGUAGGCUUUUAGUUC
rnacentral:rRNA from 1 species